CAGUAGCGCGGUAAUACGAAGGGGGCUAGCGUUGCUCGGAAUGACUGGGCGUAAAGGGCGCGUAGGCGGUUCGUACAGUUGGAUGUGAAAUUCCUGGGCUUAACCUGGGGGCUGCAUUCAAUACGUGCGGGCUUGAGUGUGGAAGAGGGUUGUGGAAUUCCCAGUGUAGAGGUGAAAUUCGUAGAUAUUUGGAAGAACACCGGUGGCGAAGGCGGCAACCUGGUCCAUAACUGACGCUGAGGCGCGAAAGCGUGGGGAGCAAACAGGAUUAGAUACCCGGGUAGUCCCUGUCUCUUAUACA
rnacentral:rRNA from 1 species